rnacentral:rRNA from 1 species
AUACGUAGGUGACAAGCGUUAUCCGGAUUUACUGGGCGUAAAGGGCGUGUAGGCGGUCUUGCAAGUCAGAAGUGAAAUUCCUGAGCUCAACUCGGGCGCUGCUUCUGACACUGCAGGACUUGAGUGCUGGAGGGGAUAGCGGAAUUCCUAGUGGAGCGGUAACAUGGGCAGAUAUUAGGAAGAACACCGGUGGCGAAGGCGGCUUUCUGGGCAGGAACUGACGCUAGUGCGCGAAAGCGUGGGGAGCAAAAAGGGUUAGAUGCCCGGGUAACCCACGCCGUAAACGAUUAAUACUAUGUGUAGGGGGUGUCGACUCCCUCUGUGCCGCAGGUAACACAAUAAGUAGUCCGCCUGGGGAGUACGGCCGCAAGGUUGAAACGCAAAUGAAUUGACGGGG